GGUCCUAUAGCUCAGUCGGUUAGAGCGCCGUGCUGAUAACGCGGAGGUCGCAGGUUCGAGCCCUGCUAGGACCA